rnacentral:rRNA from 1 species
CAUCCCCCAGGCCUUCCCAUGCAGUCGAGCGGUAGAGAGAAGCUUGCUUCUCUUGAGAGCGGCGGACGGGUGAGUAAUACCUAGGAAUCUGCCUGAUAGUGGGGGAUAACGUUCGGAAACGGACGCUAAUACCGCAUACGUCCUACGGGAGAAAGCAGGGGACCUUCGGGCCUUGCGCUAUCAGAUGAGCCUAGGUCGGAUUAGCUAGUUGGUGAGGUAAUGGCUCACCAAGGCUACGAUCCGUAACUGGUCUGAGAGGAUGAUCAGUCACACUGGAACUGAGACACGGUCCAGACUCCAACGGGAGGCAGCAGUGGGGAAUAUUGGACAAUGGGCGAAAGCCUGAUCCAGCCAUGCCGCGUGUGUGAAGAAGGUCUUCGGAUUGUAAAGCACUUUAAGUUG